rnacentral:rRNA from 1 species
UACGGAAGGGGCGAGCGUUGUUCGGAAUCAUUGGGCGUAAAGGGCGCGUAGGUGGUUUUGUAUGUCUACCGUGAAAGCAUACGGCUCAACCGUGUUACGUCGGUAGAAACUGCAAGACUUGAGGCUGGGAGGGGCUGGUGGAAUUCCCUGUGUAGCGGUGAAAUGCGUAGAGAUGGGGGAGAACACUCGUGGCGAAGGCGGCCAGCUAGACCAGCACUGACACUGAGGCGCGACAGCGUGGGGAGCAAACGGG